UUGAGACACCUGUUCCCCUAGGAUUACUGAAGUUAAGCAACGUCGGGCUUCCUCAGUACCUAGGUGGGUGACAGCUUGGGAAUAUCAGCUUCUGU